rnacentral:rRNA from 1 species
GACGAACGCUGGCGGCGUGCUUAACACAUGCAAGUCGAACGGAAAGGCCCUGCUUUUGUGGGGUGCUCGAGUGGCGAACGGGUGAGUAACACGUGAGUAACCUGCCCUUGACUUUGGGAUAACUUCAGGAAACUGGGGCUAAUACCGGAUAGGAGCUCCUGCUGCAUGGGGGGGGUGGGGAAGUUUCGGCGGUUGGGGAUGGACUCGCGGCUUAUCAGCUUGUUGGUGGGGGAGUGGCUUACCAAGGCUUUGACGGGUAGCCGGCCGGAGAGGGUGACCGGCCACAUUGGGACUGCGAUACGGCCCAGACUCCUACGGGAGGCAGCAGUGGGGAAUAUUGCACAAUGGGCGGAAGCCUGAUGCAGCAACGCCGCGUGCGGGAUGACGGCCUUCGGGUUGUAAACCGCUUUCGCCUGUGACGAAGCGUGAGUGACGGUACUGGGUAAAGAAGCACCGGCUAACUACGUG